AAAUAAACAAGACAAGGAAGAUGCUUUAAGAGAAGGUGAACUGAUUGAGUGUCUGUCUCUGCAAAAACUGGUCAAUAAGUAUAAGUGCCCAUGUGAGAUAAAAGCUUGCUCAGCAGUCUGGGGGUGUGGAAAGACAGUUGAUAAGUCCAUUACACAAGGCCUUGAUUGGCUGCUAUAUGUCAUUACAAGAGACUUUGAUGCCUUAAAUGAACGUGUCCAAAAAGACACAGCAGAACAAUGUGCUCUUGAAGAACAACAGAAAAGAGAAAGGGCUGAACGAGUGCAAAAAUUACGAGAAGAAAG